rnacentral:lncRNA from 1 species
UUCAUGGAGAUAUCAACCCUAAUUCACAUAUAGCUGCCGUUCUACCACCCUCCCCAAAAAUAACACCCUUGACCUUCUUCUUCUUCACCCACAGCAGUCCCCGAUUUUGGAACCUAGCAAGACACCUCCCAAAACAAAAGGACCCUUCAUCCAAACCCCUCGUUGAGCAGAGAAGCGACGCAACUGAAGCAAAAAGGAAGAAAACAAAAUACUAGCCACCCUUCUUCAAACCCAUCAAUGGCUGCUUAAGAUCAACGACAC